GAGAACUCCUUUAUCGUAUCAUUUUCUGGUCCCUAAUCAAUCCUAUUCAAUACAAAUCAAAACGACACUCUUCACUGGAUUGAUGGCACUGCAGGUUAUUUAUUUACUUUCCCAUGAACUUAGUAAUGGCCUCUAUUUUCCGUUUUGCUUGUAGUUUCCUGUGUUCCAUUGUUGUUCUUGUCCUUGUCUUGCUUAAAAUAAGUUUUUGCUGCUAGAGAUCAUCUUUUGGCUCACUGGGGUCUCUCGUUAUGCGUAUAAAUACGUUCCGUGUACCGGUUAUGGGAAAUAUUCGGUUCAGGUUCUGUGCGUUGGCCAGACAGGUGAUUGGAACCGCUUGUUUCCGUUGGACUUCCUUUGCCUUGCUAAGCGCUUGAUAGUGUAGUUCAUUUUUUCGUGACGGCGAUCGAUAUUCUUCUUCCUUGGGUUCCUCAUGAUCUCCCUGAUCACCCACAUUAUUCUGAUCUUCCAUCAUCUACAUUUCUAUUUAUUUUUGGUUUCGUUUUCAAAUGUUGGCCUUAGCUUUGGCCGUUGCUUAAAAUGUUCCAAAUACAAAUUUUUUUUUUGUUUUAACAGUUUUUCCAAGUGCUGGAAAAAUAUUCUACAGACAUGUAAUAAUAUGCUGGCUUUGUUUUUAAAAAUUCAAAUACUCUAUAAAUGUCGAGAAAAAUGGUAAAAAAAAAAUCCUUUAAAUUUGUGUCGAUAAAGUGUAGUGUGGGGCAAUCCUUUUAUUUUGCGGGUCGUGUUUAUCCUGUCAUGUCUCGCGUAUUACUCAUGCGCCACGUGUGUCGAUCCGAGCCACACUCUGUUGGCAUUCAUUGGCACCACCCCCUACACCCUUUCAAACAAGCUGACGUGCAAUUUCAAUGGUCAAUCAGCGCAGCUCAAAGCAGCUUCCUAGUGGAGGUUUUUUCUUUUUUUUCAUAGCCAUGACAAUGGCAAGUGAAAUUGCGCCAAGCCCCAAACGAAAUUGCCAGCAUCGAUCGCGGCAGAGCGCAGGAGGAGCCGGAUGUAAAGGAGGAGGAGGAUGUGGCAAAUCAAUGAUGCGUCUCCCUCCCUGCCAGUGGCAGUGCCAGUGCCAAUGGGAAUGAAAUGAAGCAGCUGCCGCAUUUGGUUUUGCUUCAGUUGAGUUUCUUUUUUUUUGUCUGCAUUUGCGGGGCACAAGCUUAUGGCAGCGCCAUCUGUAAUUGUAACUAUAUCUUGCUGGCAAGCAGCUACAGGAUGCAUCUGUAUCUUCAGCUCUAGCGCUCUCUCUCUCUUCCUCUGUUUGUCACUCUCCACUUGCAUUUGGAGUCCCACCUGGAGUCUCUCGCUCUCAGCUGACAGCGUGCAGAACUGUUCGUCGCUCGUUUUCGUUUAUUUCAUGCUCUACUUGUAAGCCGAGUAAGUAGAAUAAUUUUCAAAUUUGACAGCAGACAUAUGAGCUACCGUUUUCGGCCGCUCACAGAACUCUCGCUCUCUCUCUCUCUCUCUUUUCCAGCUUUUGCCAGUUCCCAGUUUCAGUCUUCAGUUCCAGUCCCGCCGUCAGUCCCAGCCUCGGUAAC
rnacentral:lncRNA from 1 species